AAAGGGGAGGCGGCGUGGGUGCGCAUGCGCCAAGCGCCGGACUAGCGAUCGGCCAUUCCGCCCCGCGUUGUUCAAACAGAGUAGUCGCAUGUGGCAGUGCUCCGGGAUCGUUUCGUCUUAUUUCUUCUAAAAGUUUGCCGCUUGCAUGCUUUCUUCAACCUGGUAAAUAUAACUAAAGUCUUUCGUGUUGGUUAAAUGUAAUGAGUGUACUCUUCUUUUAAAACGGCGGGGUGUAUGUUUGUUGGUUUCGCUUGUUUACAUUUGCUCUUCUGCUGCUUCUUUCGGGCAUGUUUGUUUAAAUUCACCCCUGCUUUUUCUUUUAAAAUAACCCUAAGGGUUUUCUUCUUUAACACACUUGGUGCUUUCUUCUUUUAAAACAUUUGGGUGCUUUCUUUUAAAAUACGCCGCGGUGCUUACUAACAACACAGGGCCGGACGGACGCCCCCGCUGAACGUGUAUGCACUAGCUUGCCAUUAUCCUGCUCUAUGUUUUAUUAUUCCUUAAAAACUUAAUUAAAAAACCACAUUGAUAAAAUACAUGUAAUGUAUUUUUAUUCUAUUAAAGUUUAAUCUCCCAAACCCCCCCUAUCGGCAACACGUGGCAUAAGCAUGUAUUGAUACCAUAUAUGGACAUAGCGGCAAUCUCCCAAAACCAUAUCGCCCCCUAUCGGCAAAACGUGGCAUAAGCAUGUAUUGAUACCAUAUAUGGGCAUAAACCCUCGACCAAUCAGCAUCAAGGAUAAGCCACUUCCUCUUAUGACGUCAGAAGCGGAGAAUUAAGCUCCGCCCAAUGUACCACAUAACCUUUUUUACCAGUUCUCAGAAAAGCCCACCUCCUCAUCCACUUCCACUGCACAAAUAAGCAAAUCUUUUUAGAGUCUCAGAGUCAUUUUUUCAAGGUAUCAUCCUUGUGCAGAAGACAGAAGCGCGAGGAUCCUGCACACUGAUACCACUGGCGUGUGGAGUUCGAUAGAUGAAAACAGUUCCUACAUUGAACUGCUCACUAAAAACUGUGGAUUAUCUUCAGUAACUCGGAUGUGAUUCCUGAUGGACCCCAUUCCUCCUUGUGUUUCAUUGCCAGAAACGAUGUGGACCUACGGGCGAUUUCUGUUGGUUUUCAUCCUAACUGUAAUUUGUUCUCUGCUCCUCCUCUGUUCCUGUGUUUUCAUGUGCAAACAAGGUCUGAAGAAAUCUGUGCUUCAUAAGACUGUGGUGGAGGGACAGCAGCUUCCUGCUGGGGCACAUGGGAACCAGGGGCAGGCCGGAAGUGAUGGACAACAACUGCUUGACAUUUACACAGAGGUCAACUACAGCCCACUGUGACCUCUGACCUCAGCUACACCUCCGCAAGUCAUGUGAUCCAGACAAUCCCAACAUCCAAGAUUCCCUUACACACCUUAACCACACACUCCUACAUGUCUUAAUUUUGACACAUAAGGGCUUCAAUUUUCUCAUUCAAUUAUAAUUGUGAUUUUAAUUUUCAUGCGCACAUUGCAGUCUGGCUGAACUGCACACAUGCAGUCUGGCUGAACUGCGCACAUUGCAGUCUGGCUGAACUGCGCACAUGCAGUCUGGCUGAACUGCGCACAUUGCAGUCUGGCUGAACUGCGCACAUGCAGUCUCGCUGAACUGCGCACAUGCAGUCUGGCUGAACUGUAAAAGCCGUUUCCAGCUUUAUUUUGGAUGAUUAUUAAGCAAUAAGUCUCUUUUAUUUUAUUCUGAAAAAGGCCUUUAUUUGAAUUAUUUUUAGUGCAUAUCAUCCAGGGAGGAAUUUUAAGGGGCCAUUGCUCUGACCCCCUCCCUCGAGAAAAAAUAAAUAAAUCACACAGACUGUAUGGAGAACUAAAAAAUACACAAUUUCUUUAUUAAUUCAGUCUUUAUUAAUAUACCUUGCUCCAAAUUUACUUUAAAGCAGAAUCCUCCUAUUGGAGUCCAUCUGCCAGGAUGUGCUCCCCUUUGCUGCCUCCCUGAGCUGCCUCUCUCUCUCUCUCUCCGAAAUCCUCCACUUUUCGGAGGGAAUUCGAGCUUAGCGUAGCAUGCAAACACCCAAAACAGCAAUAGGAUUUAGGCAUUUUACCAUUUUGAAUAAAACAACUAACGUAAUGCACUUCACAUCAAAAAUGAUACCUUCCAUCAUUGAUGCUUCUUGUUACGUGGGAAACUGAGGCCAGACUUAUGAAGAUUUCAUUUCAUUAAUCAUUUCUACAACGUCAGUGUGUAAUGGGCAGCUGCAAAAUACUGGCUCUGGCUCUAGUGCCGUGGAUGCAUGCGACACAGCUGAAAGGAAAACAGACCGGCUGACCUUAAAGAAACUAUGUCCACUCGCUUUGCCUAUAAGUUUAUCGAGUGGAAGUGAACAGCUUGAUGGCGAAGUAGCUAGUCUCAGAGUGAGCCUGUAAAGUUACUGCCAAAUGCAUUUCUCUCUGCCUUACACGAAGCGUUUCGGGUGGCGUUUUUAAAAAAUGCGCGCAGUCCGCCACCGUUCAGUAGGUGCGCAGUGAAGCAGAAUGGGCUGUUCGGGGAGCUGCGCUGUCGCGAAGCUGUUGAGUUGCUACUGUAUGUGACUGAGCUCCGGCAAGCGCGGCAAAUUAAAAAGCAUUUUCCUAA